rnacentral:rRNA from 1 species
GGAAUUUUGGGCAAUGGCCGCAAGGCUGACCCAGCGACACCGCGUGCGGGAGGAAGCCCUUCGGGGUGUAAACCGCUGUCAGGGGGGAAGAAACCGGGGGUGGUGAACAGCCACACUCGCUGACGGUACCUCCAACGGAAGCGCCGGCCAACCCCGUGCCCGCAGCCGCGGUAAGACGGAGGCGGCAAGCGUUGUUCGGAAUUACUGGGCGUAAAGCGCGCGCAUGCGGAUGGACAAGUCGGGAGUGAAAGACCGGGGCUCAACUCCGGACCCGCUUUCGAGACUGUUCGUCUGGGGACCGGUAGGGGCGGGUGGAAUUCCCGGUGUAGCGGUGGAAUGCGUAGAGAUCGGGAAGAACACCGGUGGCGAAGGCGGCCCGCUGGGCCGGAUCCGACGCUGAGGCGCGAAAGCGUGGGGAGCAAAC